rnacentral:rRNA from 1 species
GUUUGAUUAUGGCUCAGGAUGAACGCUAGCUACAGGCUUAACACAUGCAAGUCGAGGGGCAGCAUGAACUUAGCUUGCUAAGUUUGAUGGCGACCGGCGCACGGGUGAGUAACACGUAUCCAACCUGCCGAUGACUCGGGGAUAGCCUUUCGAAAGAAAGAUUAAUACCCGAUGGCAUAGUUCUUCCGCAUGGUAGAACUACUAAAGGAUUUCGGUCAUCGAUGGGGAUGCGUUCCAUUAGGUUGUUGGCGGGGUAACGGCCCACCAAGCCUUCGAUGGAUAGGGGUUCUGAGAGGAAGGUCCCCCACAUUGGAACUGAGACACGGUCCAAACUCCUACGGGAGGCAGCAGUGAGGAAUAUUGGUCAAUGGACGAGAGUCUGAACCAGCCAAGUAGCGUGAAGGAUGACCGCCCUAUGGGUUGUAAACUUCUUUUAUACGGGAAUAAAGUGAGGCACGUGUGCCUUUUUGUAUGUACCGUAUGAAUAAGGAUCGGCUAACUCCGUGCCAGCAGCCGCGGUAAUACGGAGGAUCCGAGCGUUAUCCGGAUUUAUUGGGUUUAAAGGGAGCGUAGGCGGACGCUUAAGUCAGUUGUGAAAGUUUGCGGCUCAACCGUAAAAUUGCAGUUGAUACUGGGUGUCUUGAGUACAGUAGAGGCAGGCGGAAUUCGUGGUGUAGCGGUGAAAUGCUUAGAUAUCACGAAGAACUCCGAUUGCGAAGGCAGCUUGCUGGACUGUAACUGACGCUGAUGCUCGAAAGUGUGGGUAUCAAACAGGAUUAGAUACCCUGGUAGUCCACACAGUAAACGAUGAAUACUCGCUGUUUGCGAUAUACAGUAAGCGGCCAAGCGAAAGCGUUAAGUGUUCCACCUGGGGAGUACGCCGGCAACGGUGAAACUCAAAGGAAUUGACGGGGGCCCGCACAAGCGGAGGAACAUGUGGUUUAAUUCGAUGAUACGCGAGGAACCUUACCCGGGCUUGAAUUGCAACUGAAUGAUGUGGAGACAUGUCAGCCGCAAGGCAGUUGUGAAGGUGCUGCAUGGUUGUCGUCAGCUCGUGCCGUGAGGUGUCGGCUUAAGUGCCAUAACGAGCGCAACCCUUAUCGAUAGUUACCAUCAGGUUAUGCUGGGGACUCUGUCGAGACUGCCGUCGUAAGAUGUGAGGAAGGUGGGGAUGACGUCAAAUCAGCACGGCCCUUACGUCCGGGGCUACACACGUGUUACAAUGGGGGGUACAGAAGGCAGCUACACGGCGACGUGAUGCUAAUCCCUAAAGCCUCUCUCAGUUCGGAUUGGAGUCUGCAACCCGACUCCAUGAAGCUGGAUUCGCUAGUAAUCGCGCAUCAGCCACGGCGCGGUGAAUACGUUCCCGGGCCUUGUACACACCGCCCGUCAAGCCAUGAAAGCCGGGGGUACCUGAAGUGCGUAACCGCAAGGAGCGCCCUAGGGUAAAACUGGUGAUUGGGGCUAAGUCGUAACAAGGUAACC